CGCCCAACAGCUAGCUCACACAACAACAUCAAUAUACCACUAUUUAUACCCCUAAACAUAUUACUUCCUAUAAAACAAAUCAUUUUUAACCCUGAGUACGGGCGACAAAAAAGGAUCUUAUGAAGCAAUAGAGAAAGUACCGCAAGGGAAAGCUGAAAGAGGAAUGAAACAACUCAGUCAAGCGCCAAAAAGCAGAGACUUCCCCUCGUACCUUUUGCAUCAUGAUUUAGCAAGAAAUGCUUAAGCAAAAAGAAUUAUAGUUUAAUACCCCGAAACUAAGUGAGCUACUCCAAGACAGCCUAACUAGAGGGCGACCCCGUCUCUGUGGCAAAAGAGUGGGAAGAACUUUGAGUAGAGGUGACAAACCUACCGAACUAAGUUAUAGCUGGUUACCUGAAAAUCGAAUAGAAGUUCAGCCCUUUAAAUUCUUUUCUCAACCCCUGAAUAUCUCAAUUAGAUAGCAAGAAGUUAAAGGAGUUAAUCAAAGGGGGUACAGCUCCUUUGAAACAAGAAACAACUUUUCCAGCAGGAUAAAGAUCACAUUAAAUCUAAGGUUUAAUGCCCCAGUGGGCCUAAAAGCAGCCAACCAACUAGAAAGCGUUAAAGCUCGAGCAUUGCCCCUCCCUCCUUCAAUACCGACAAUUAAAUCUUAAUCCCCUACACACAUCAGGUUAUUCCAUACACUUAUGGAAGAAAUUAUGCUAAUAUGAGUAAUAAGAGAGACUCCGUCUCUCUCCUCGCACACGUGUAUAUCAGAACGAACCCCCACCGAAAAUUAACGGCCCCAAAACAAAGAGGGACCUAGAUAAUAAAUUAAAAAACCAGAAAACCAUCCAAUUACUAGCCGUUAACCCCACACUGGUGUGCCUCCCAGGAAAGACAAAAAGAAAGAGAAGGAACUCGGCAAACAUAAGCCUCGCCUGUUUACCAAAAACAUCGCCUCUUGCAACCCCAUCUAUAAGAGGUCCCGCCUGCCCAGUGACUAUAAGUUUAACGGCCGCGGUAUUUUGACCGUGCAAAGGUAGCGCAAUCACUUGUCUUUUAAAUGAAAACCUGUAUGAAUGGCACCACGAGGGCUUAACUGUCUCCUUUUUCCAGUCAAUGAAAUUGAUCUCCCCGUGCAGAAGCGGGGAUAAAAACAUAAGACGAGAAGACCCUAUGAAGCUUUAGGUGUCAGAGCAGACUAUGUAAAACACCCCCACAUAAAGGACAAAACUUAUUAGACCCUGCUCCAAUGCCUUUGGUUGGGGCGACCGCGGGGAAAUACACAACCCCCAUGUGGACUGGAAGCACAACCCCUUCUACAACCUAGAGCUACAGCUCCAAGUAACAGAACAUCUGACCAACAAAUGAUCCGGCACAGCCGAUCAACGAACCAAGUUACUCUAGGGAUAACAGCGCAAUCCCCUUCUAGCGCCCAUAUCGACAAGGGGGUUUACGACCUCGAUGUUGGAUCAGGACAUCCUAAUGGUGCAGCCGCUAUUAAGGGUUCGUUUGUUCAACGAUUAAAGUCCUACGUGAUCUGAGUUCAGACCGGAGUAAUCCAGGUCAGUUUCUAUCUAUGAUAUGAUCUUUUCUAGUACGAAAGGACCGAAAAGAAGGGGCCUCUGUUAUAAACACACCUCCUCCUUACUUAAUGAAGUCAACUAAAAUAAGCAAAAGGGCAUACCCCCCCCCCNAAACCAGAAAAGUUU
rnacentral:rRNA from 1 species